rnacentral:rRNA from 1 species
ACUCAAAUGAAUAGACGGGGGCCCGCACAAGCAGCGGAGCGUGUGGUUUAAUUCGAUGCAACGCGAAGAACCUUACCUAGACUUGACAUGACCCGGAAAGCCGUGGAAACACGGCCCUCUUCGGACCGGGCCACAGAUGUUGCAUGGCUGUCGUCAGCUCGUGUCGUGAGAUGUUGGGUUAAGUCCCGCAACGAGCGCAACCCUCGUGUCCUGUUGCAACUCAGGACAGACUGCCGGUACAAGCCGGAGGAAGGUGGGGAUGACGUCAAGUCCGCAUGGCUCUUACGUCUAGGGCUACACACACGCUACAAUGGUCGGGACAGAGCGCAGCCACGGGGCGACCCGGAGCGAAUCGCAAAACCCGAUCUCAGUUCGGAUGGCAGGCUGCAACCCGCCUGCCUGAAGUCGGAGUUGCUAGUAACCGCGUGUCAGCAUAGCGCGGUGAAUAUGUUCCCGGGCCUUGCACACACCGCCCGU